rnacentral:misc_RNA from 1 species
AUCUUCUUCAUGAUAUAUAAGGCAACGGUUGCAAGUUCAUCUUUACAGAUUAAUUACAGCUUCAAUAUUCUCUACCACCACGGCAGUUACCGGAACCCUAGCCCUAGACCAAAAAUUUUCCUUUUUCCGCUUUGAGAAACUUUGCUCCUGAUUCACGAUGCUUUGUUCUCCCGGUCACUCACCACGCCCCCUCUCAUCCCCAUCUUCAUCUGCAUCUCCAAAUCGCCCAAAUGCUUUCCAAGUCUCUAACUCACCCUCAAUCAGAACACCCGCAAACCCUAGGAAGCGCCCUACAGUUCUGGACGAGGACACCUAUGUUGCAGCGAUCGAGAAAAUCAUCGAACGCGACUUCUUCCCGGACAUCUCGAAACUCCGUGACCGGCUUGAUUGGCUUGAAGCGGUAAAAACUGGCGACCCUAUUCAAAUACGAGAU